GACGAACGCUGGCGGCGUGCUUAACACAUGCAAGUCGAACGGAAAGGCCCUGCUUUUGUGGGGUGCUCGAGUGGCGAACGGGUGAGUAACAAGUGAGUAACCUGCCCUUGACUUUGGGAUAACUUCAGGAAACUGGGGCUAAUACCGGAUAGGAGCUCCUGCUGCAUGGUGGGGGUUGGAAAGUUUCGGCGGUUGGGGAUGGACUCGCGGCUUAUCAGCUUGUUGGUGGGGUAGUGGCUUACCAAGGCUUUGACGGGUAGCCGGCCUGAGAGGGUGACCGGCCACAUUGGGACUGCGAUACGGCCCAGACUCCUACGGGAGGCAGCAGUGGGGAAUAUUGCACAAUGGGCGGAAGCCUGAUGCAGCAACGCCGCGUGCGGGAUGACGGCCUUCGGGUUGUAAACCGCUUUCGCCUGUGACGAAGCGUGAGUGACGGUAAUGGGUAAAGAAGCACCGGCUAACUACGUG
rnacentral:rRNA from 1 species